UACGUAGGGUGCGAGCGUUAAUCGGAAUUACUGGGCGUAAAGCGUGCGCAGGCGGUUUUGUAAGCCAGAUGUGAAAUCCCCGGGCUUAACCUGGGAAUGGCAUUUGGGACUGCAAGGCUCGAGUGCGGCAGAGGAGACUGGAAUUCCUGGUGUAGCAGUGAAAUGCGUAGAUAUCAGGAGGAACACCGAUGGCGAAGGCAGGUCUCUGGGCUGACACUGGCGCUGAGGAGCGAAAGCCAGGGGAGCAAACGGG
rnacentral:rRNA from 1 species